CAUAUAGGGGAGGCUAAAUUAACGCCCCCCCCCCCCGAUAACAAAGGAUGCACAUGUACCUGUUGCAUUGCUUAUUAAUUAAUUAAUUAAUUAAGUUUAAUUGUUUACGCAGAAGGAAUUAACCAAAACAAGCCCGCAGCAUCACAAAAUGCUACUCACUCGGGAGCAGGAAAUCGAAGUGCUGGACGAAUUCAGCCUUCUUUGGGCAAAAGAAAAAAGCCUGUCAGGCAAGAAACGGACCAUGAAAAAUCUUGUCAGUCAACUGUUCGACGAAAAACCAGAGCUGAUGCAUGGCUUAGAGUUUCAGCAGAUUUUUGAUACGCUGCGCAGGCUGGUGGCAGAUCAGUACCCCGAUGCCGACGAUUAAAGGCAAAGUGCAUCUUGUUUUGUGUGAAGUCCAGAUGCUAUCCAUGCCUGUGCAGUCCCUGCAGCACCUUCGUAGAGAGGAC